GACGACGACUCCUACGGGAGGCAGCAGUGGGGAAUAUUGCACAAUGGGGGAAACCCUGAUGCAGCCAUGCCGCGUGUGUGAAGAAGGCCUUCGGGUUGUAAAGCACUUUCAGUAGGGAGGAAGGUAGUGUAGUUAACACCUGCACUAUUUGACGUUACCUACAGAAGAAGCACCGGCUAACUCCGUGCCAGCAGCCGCGGUAAUACGGAGGGUGCGAGCGUUAAUCGGAAUUACUGGGCGUAAAGCGCAUGCAGGCGGCCUGUUAAGUCAGAUGUGAAAGCCCGGGGCUUAACCUCGGAAUUGCAUUUGAAACUGGCAGGCUAGAGUCUUGUAGAGGGGGUAGAAUUUCAGGUGUAGCGGUGAAAUGCGUAGAGAUCUGAAGGAAUACCAGUGGCGAAGGCGGCCCCCUGGACAAAGACUGACGCUCAGAUGCGAAAGCGUGGGGAGCAAACAGGAUUAGAUACCCUGGGAG
rnacentral:rRNA from 1 species